rnacentral:rRNA from 1 species
UACGUAGGGUGCAAGCGUUAAUCGGAAUUACUGGGCGUAAAGCGUGCGCAGGCGGUUUUGUAAGUCAGAUGUGAAAUGCCCGGGCUUAACCUGGGAACUGCAUUUGUGACUGCAUGGCUAGAGUUUGGCAGAGGGGGGUAGAAUUCCACGUGUAGCAGUGAAAUGCGUAGAUAUGUGGAGGAACACCGAUGGCGAAGGCAGCCCCCUGGGUCAAGACUGACGCUCAUGCACGAAAGCGUGGGGAGCAACAGG